AUUGAACGCUGGCGGCAUGCCUUACACAUGCAAGUCGAACGGCAGCACGGGUGCUUGCACCUGGUGGCGAGUGGCGAACGGGUGAGUAAUACAUCGGAACGUACCUUAUCGUGGGGGAUAACGCAGCGAAAGCUGUGCUAAUACCGCAUACGCCCUGAGGGGGAAAGCGGGGGAUCGAAAGACCUCGCGCGAUUAGAGCGGCCGAUGCCUGAUUAGCUUGUUGGUGGGGUAAAAGCCCACCAAGGCGACGAUCAGUAGCUGGUCUGAGAGGACGAUCAGCCACACUGGGGCUGAGACACGGCCCAGACUCCUACGGGAGGCAGCAGUGGGGAAUUUUGGACAAUGGGGGCAACCCUGAUCCAGCAAUGCCGCGUGAGUGAAGAAGGCCUUCGGGUUGUAAAGCUCUCUUGUCAGGGAAGAAACACCGGCUCUAACACAGUCCGGGAAUGACGGUACCUGAAGAAUAAGCACCGGCUAACUACGUGCCAGCAGCCGCAGUAA
rnacentral:rRNA from 1 species